GCGGGAGUAGCUCAGUGGUAGAGCUUUUGCUUGCCAAGCAAAAGGUCGCGGGUUCGAGCCCCGUCUCCCGCU
rnacentral:tRNA from 1 species